AGACGUAGGGGGCGAGCGUUGUCCGGAAUUACUGGGCGUAAAGGGCGUGUAGGCGGCCUUUCAAGUCGGCUGUGAAAUUCCCCGGCUCAACCGGGGGGGUGCAGUCGAAACUGGGGGGCUUGAGUGCAGGAGAGGGGGGUGGAAUUCCCGGUGGAGCGGUGAUAUGCGUAGAUAUCGGGAGGAACACCGGUGGCGAAGGCGACCUUCUGGCCUGUUACUGACGCUGAGGCGCGAAAGCCGGGGGAGCAAACAGGAUUAGAUACCCUGGUAGUCCCGGCCGUAAACUCUGGGUACUAGGUGUAGGGGGCUUUGAUGCCUUCUGUGCCGUAGUUAACGCAUUAAGUACCCCGCCUGGGGAGUACGAUCGCAAGGUUGAA
rnacentral:rRNA from 1 species